GUGAAGUUGUAGAAGCUUUCAAAAAGCGGUUUUAAAAACGAGUUUGACUUCAUUAAGAAGCGAAUAAUAUGAUUAUUAUUUAGUGUGAAACAAAUAUCAAAUUCCAGCUGUUACGUUUUUCAAAUAACUUUCCAUAUUUAACAAUGAAAUAAUCAAAUUUGUGAUUUCUACCGAACAAAUUCCCACCCCAGCCAGCGUGUGACGUCAAUUUGAUGUCUAGGAAGAAGACGUUUUCCCCACAUGAAAACAAAAUUAAAGGCUCCCAGGCGAGACUUGGACCUCGUCUGCCGCCGCCGCCGCCGCCUCCUCAUGACGUUGUCCGCCAGCGAGCUCGCUUCCUCGUAAACCCACGGCAGCUCCCGCAAGGCUUUGCUCUGGACCUUGAUGUUAUCCAUCUGGAGAAGGAAGACGGAUCGAUCUUAACCUGAAACUGAUCACCAUCUUACCAUGAAAACCGCAACAUUCUUCACAAGAAAGCACCACCUUGUGCCAUGAAGGGUUUAACCUUUGAGAUUUCAAAUCAGCAAAUGAAACUGACUAAAUGCUGACUUUAUGUCACAGUAUGAAAGUUCCAGUUUUGAGUCUCAAAAUAGUUGCAAAAAGGUUGCAGAAGCAGCAAGGAAAGGCAAACCACAAAAACCUCAAUAUAAACUCAUGUGUGAUAAGGUUCAGACUUUUCUAAGUGUCUGAAAAUGUUUUGAUAGACUGAAACUGGAGUAUAGCACCAGCUAACUGCUGACUAGACUAGCUUAAUAGCAUAGCCUGGAAAACGGCUUUAAAAACUUCCACCAGCUACUAACAUGCCUGUGUUUAAGCAUAUACACUGACAUUGUGAAUAUUUAUGAACUAAAAUGCACUUUAUUUUAAAUCCUUAAUUUGAGAUUGUUGUUUAUUAAAAUAGCUUCUCUGCAAACAGAUUAAGGUAGUUAGCUUAGCUUAGCCUAGUUUAGCAUCAAGCUAGGUGGAAGCUGCUUACUCCCUUUUUCUAAAACUCUGAAAUAAUUACCAGUAAUAUGUCCUGUAAUUAUUUUUGCUUUAAUAAAAUAGUGUAUUUUGUGAUUUUAGGGCUGGUUUCUGGAACUACGUGACGAUACAAUUACUAUUCAUCAGUGUUGCUAGAUAUAGUUUAAUUCAGCCUGACUGCCAAACUGUCUUUGUGAAUGACCCCCGGAAC